rnacentral:rRNA from 1 species
AUUGAACGCUGGCGGCAGGCCUAACACAUGCAAGUCGAGCGGAUGAAGGGAGCUUGCUCCUGCAUUCAGCGGCGGACGGGUGAGUAAUGCCUAGGAAUCUGCCUGGUAGUGGGGGAUAACGUCCGGAAACGGGCGCUAAUACCGCAUACGUCCUGAGGGAGAAAGUGGGGGAUCUUCGGACCUCACGCUAUCAGAUGAGCCUAGGUCGGAUUAGCUAGUUGGUGGGGUAAAGGCCUACCAAGGCGACGAUCCGUAACUGGUCUGAGAGGAUGAUCAGUCACACUGGAACUGAGACACGGUCCAGACUCCUACGGGAGGCAGCAGUGGGGAAUAUUGGACAAUGGGCGAAAGCCUGAUCCAGCCAUGCCGCGUGUGUGAAGAAGGUCUUCGGAUUGUAAAGCACUUUAAGUUGGGAGGAAGGGCAGUAAGUUAAUACCUUGCUGUUUUGACGUUACCAACAGAAUAAGCACCGGCUAACUUCGUG